UACUGAUCCUAGACAGAGGAGACCUACAGGUAGUGGGUUAGUGUGGGUUACGGAUCCUAGACAGAGGAGACAGGUAGUGGGUUAGUGUGGGUUACGGAUCCUAGACAGAGGAGACAGGUAGUGGGUUACUGAUCCUAGACAGAGGAGCCAUACAGGUAGUGGGUUACUGAUCCUAGACAGAGGAGACAUACAGGUAGUGGGUUACUGAUCCUAGACAGAGGAGACCUACAGGUAGUGGGUUAGUGUGGGUUACUGAUCCUAGACAGAGGAUACAUACAGGUAGUGGGUUAGUGUGGGUUACUGAUCCUAGACAGAGGGGACAUACAGGUAGUGGGUUAGUGUGGGUUACUGAUCCUAGACAGAGGAGACAUACAGGUAGUGGGUUAGUGUGGGUUACUGAUCCUAGACAGAGGAGGUCUACAGGUAGUGGGUUAGUGUGGGUUACUGAUCCUAGACAGAGGGGACAUACAGGUAGUGGGUUAGUGUGGGUUACUGAUCCUAGACAGAGGAGACAUACAGGUAGUGGGUUAGUGUGUGUGUUUGUGGUGCAGUGUGAGUUGACUACAGAAAUUAUCCUAGGUGUCUGUUGCCUGGUCAUAGAUUUGUGUCCUCGCCAACUCUAUUACUGUCAUUGUCAAGCCAAUCAUUUUGCAUCACCAUGAGUGACAAGGAGUUGGCAUUAUGACACAAAUAGACUGGGACUCAGGCUAAGGUCUGCAGCAGUGAGGAAUGUGUGUGAGAAUGUGGAAGAGCAUGUUGUGGAGAGAACAGAACAGUGGAAGACACACUAUAGAUUAUUCAGAAACUAGACACACUCCCCCUUUAUCUGACUAACUAAGAAAUAAGAACAGAGGACAACAUGGUCAACACAACAACAACAACAGACCACUGGGGGAAAUAAGAACAGAGGACAACAUGGUCAAUACAACAACAACAGACCACUGGGGGAAAUAAGAACAGAGGACAACAUGGUCAAUACAACAACAACAGACCACUACAGACCACUGGGGGAAAUAAGAACAGAGGACAACAUGGUCAAUACAACAACAACAACAGACCACUGGGGGGAAUAACAACAGAGGACAACAUGGUCAAUACAACAACAACAGACCACUGGGGGAAAUAAGAACAGAGGACAACAUGGUCAAUACAACAACAACAACAGACCACUGGGGGAAAUAAGAACAGAGGACAACAUGGUCAAUACAACAACAACAGACCACUGGGGGAAAUAAGAACAGAGGACAACAUGGUCAUAACAACAACAACAGACCACUGGGGGAAAUAAGAACAGAGGACAACAUGGUCAUUACAACAACAACAACAGACCACUGUGGGAAAUAAGAACAGAGGACAACAUGGUCAUUACAACAACAACAACAGACCACUGGGGGAAAUAAGAACAGAGGACAACAUGGUCAAUACAACAACAACAGACCACUACAGACCACUGGGGGAAAUAACAACAGAGGACAACAUGGUCAAUACAACAACAGACCACAACAACAGACCACUGGGGGAAAUAAGAACAGAGGACAACAUGGUCAAUACAACAACAACAACAACAGACCACUGGGGGGAAAUAAGAACAGAGGACAACAUGGUCAAUACAACAACAACAGACCACUGGGGGAAAUAAGAACAGAGGACAACAUGAUCAAUACAACAACAACAACAACAGACCACUGGGGGAAAUAAGAACAGAGGACAACAUGGUCAAUACAACAACAACAACAGACCACUGGGGGAAAUAAGAACAGAGGACAACAUGGUAAAUACAACAACAGACCACUGGGGGAAAUAAGAACAGAGGACAACAUGGUCAAUACAACAACAACAACAACAGACCACUGGGGGAAAUAAGAACAGAGGACAACAUGGUCAAUACAACAACAACAACAACAGACCACUGGGGGAAAUAAGAACAGAGGACAACAUGGUCAAUACAACAACAACAACAGACCACUGGGGGAAAUAAGAACAGAGGACAACAUGAUCAAUACAACAACAACAACAACAACAGACCACUGGGGGGAAAUAAGAACAGAGGACAACAUGGUCAAUACAACAACAACAACAGACCACUGGGGGAAAUAAGAACAGAGGACAACAUGGUAAAUACAACAACAGACCACUGGGGGAAAUAAGAACAGAGGACAACAUGGUCAAUGUUGGCGACAUUUACCUGUGUCACGGCCGUCGUUAAACGAAGACAAAGGUGCAGCGUGGUAAUACCUCCUGCUGACCAGCCAAUCACAUCAAAGUGCUCUUUGCUGCCUGGUGAGAGAGAGGCCAUCCCUAUGAUCAAAACCUGGAAAAACAAAUAUACAAAAAGAAAAAGGCCAAUUUUGCUCACUGGGAUCCAUCCAAAUCUCCUUUAGUUGAUCUUGAACAAAUCCUGGGCAUCGAAGGACACCGCUGUGGAGCCCUGGUUGGUGGUGAUCAUAGGGUCAAUGCUGUUUCAUAUUGACGUUGCCACAGGAUCCUGGAUGGUACUUCUUGAAAGAGAAGAAUCAGAGGGGGUUGGUUUGGUUGGAAAUGUCAUUACAUGUUAACAGCUGUAACAUUGUCUGAAUAGUGAUGAAAAUCAAGUGCUGUACAGGACUUACAACACAUUGAGAUGGUACUGAAGCUUUGAGAUGUGAAGAUAUGGCUGUUACUGCAGUGGCCUGGUGGACUGACAGGGUUGGUGGGAUGAGAUGGUACUGAAGCUACGUGACGUGAAGAUAUGGCUGUUACUGCAGUGGCCUGGUGGACUGACAGGGUUGGUGGGAUGAGAUGGUACUGAAGCUACGUGACGUGAAGAUAUGGCUGUUACUGCAGUGGCCUGGUGGACUGACAGGGUUGGUGGGAUGAGAUGGUACUGAAGCUACGCGACGUGAAGAUGUGGCUGUUACUGCAGUGGCCUGGUGGUCUGACAGGGUUGGUGGGAUGAGAUGGUACUGAAGCUACGUGACGUGAAGAUGUGGCUGUUACUGCAGUGGCCUGGUGGACUGACAGGGUUGGUGGGAUGAGAUGGUACUGAAGCUACGCGACGUGAAGAUGUGGCUGUUACUGCAGUGGCCUGGUGGACUGACAGAGUUGGUGGGAUGAGAUGGUACUGAAGCUACGUGACGUGAAGAUAUGGCUGUUACUGCAGUGGCCUGGUGGACUGACAGGGUUGGUGGGAUGAGAUGGUACUGAAGCUACGUGACGUGAAGAUGUGGCUGUUACUGCAGUGGCCUGGUGGACUGACAGGGUUGGUGGGAUGAGAUGGUACUGAAGCUACGCGACGUGAAGAUGUGGCUGUUACUGCAGUGGCCUGGUGGACUGACAGGGUUGGUGGGAUGAGAUGGUACUGAAGCUACGCGACGUGAAGAUAUGGCUGUUACUGCAGUGGCCUGGUGGACUGACAGGGUUGGUGGGAUGAGAUGGAGGAGUCUGGAGGUCAAAACAGGAUGAACAAACAAAACA